rnacentral:hammerhead_ribozyme from 1 species
AUUCAGCUGACGAAUCCCAAAUAUGACUAAACGCGCGUCUCGUAU